UACUAUGGCCAAGCCACCCUGAACAAGUCCUAUCCUGUCUGAUCUCGGAAGCUAAGCAGGGUCGGGCCUAGUUAGUACUUGAAUGAGAGACCACCUAGGAAGACCAGGCGCUGUAGGCG
rnacentral:rRNA from 1 species